CUUGUUACCCAUGCAAUGUUGGGGUCAGAGAGUGUAGAGAGUGGUGUGGGGAGAGUGCAGGCUGAAGAGUUACCUAAGGUCAAAAUCCUGACCUAUGAGCCAAGCCAUCGAUUUGGGAUUUCUACUGAGGACACUGGAAGUCACUAAGAGCAUCUGAAUGGAAAUCGAGGUUAAGAGAGGGUAGGCGAUUUGCCUGAGAUCACACAGCCUCGUGUGUGGCAGAGCCUUAGAUUCCAAGCCAGGCUGUCCGAUGCCAGACCUUCACAGCUAUCCUAUGCUUCCACGGCACCCCGGACUUCCCCUUGGAGCACUUGCCAGUGAAACAAACAUGCCCUGGAGAAAUGCCUGGUUUUUAUUUUACACGGCUCACUGUGGCUUUGACCUCCCAUGCUGAAGCGAUCCUCCUAUCUCAACCUCUCAAGUAGCUGGAAGCACAGGCAUGCACCACCACACCUGGCUAAUUUUUUUCUUCCUUUUUUAAAGAGACAGUCUUGCCAUGUUGCCCAGGCCCUGUUGACCAGGAAAAAAAAAAGUUUUUUUUCUUUUUUAAAGAAAGAAAAUAAAAGAGACUGAGAAACCACAGAAAUAAAGAAGCGCUGAUGACAAUGCCUGCUUGCUGAUGGUUACGAUGAUCAUAGCAGUGUGCAUUUUGUAUGCAUGAAGCCUGCGACUAAAUAAACGUGUGGGGAAAUAUUUGUAAGGAAAUAAGCUAUUAAUAAAAUAAGCUAAAAUCACAGUUGCUGGACUAUGACUGAUUUUUCCCCUUUCUCUCAUUUAAAAUUAAAUAUUUGUAUGACUUGUAUAAUAGAAAAAUACAUGUAUUCAAUCUUAAAAAGAUAUUCUUAUUUUACACUUUACGGGACAAAAGAGGUUGUAGGUUGGAAUGGUUCAGUCCCCUUGUGACAACUCAAAAACAGAGACCUUAAGCCUUUCUCAACCAAUGUUGCGGGACAAGCAGGCGUGUGAGGCGACAAUGCCAUUAGGGUAUUUUUUGGAAAAAUUUUAGUGUGAGAGACAAAAGCCAAAUUCAAACUGGCCUGAGCCAAAAUAGGUAGGAAAGGGAGAAGCGGAGACAGGGAGGAAGAAAGAGAGAGAACAGAAAGAAAAAGGGAGAAAUGUCGAAAGGCAAAAUUACAACACAUUUAGUUAAAUGAUUGAAUUGGUUUUUAUUUGUAAUUCAUGAAUUGGGGCAGCAUCUCCUCUAAAACUUUAGGAAAAGUGCUCUGAUGAGCUAAACAGAGAAGCUUGGCUUUAUAGGCAGAAAAGGGUGAAGAAAGCAGACACAGGGAACAAAAAGCAGAUUGGUAAGCUCAGGUUACUUCAGGUUACUUUCCUUAUAAAGGUUAAAGUAGAGGGGACUUCCUUAUCAUGCUGGCUACAACUGGCCUGUUUGGGGAUUUGCAUAUUAUCUCUCUCUGUCUUGAGUUCUGGGAAGGUCUGAUGACUUAGUUUCAGUUUGGUGAUAUGGAACUUAGCAUGAGUGACUCCAUCUUGGUUUGGUCUACUGGGGCCUCCUGCAGGAGCUCAGCCCAAAUCAGUGACCUCCUAUAAAUUUCAUUUAAUAGAAAAGGAAGGAAGGAAGGAAGGAAGGAAGGAAGGAAGGAAGGAAGGAAGGAAGGGAGGGAGGGAGGGAGGGAGGGAGGGAGGAAGGGAGGAAAGAAGGAAGGAAAGAAAGAAAGUUGCUUAUAAGUUGCUUAUAACUAAAAAGACCAGCUGGACCCAGGAGCUCUGAGGUUGCUUUCAGGCCUCUGUCCAUCUCUUAGUUUUCCAUCCUCAGACAGGCUCUGCCCUGCCUUACAGUCUAGCAUUGUUGGCCAAAGGUGACUGACUGGCCCAGCUUGGGCUAUAUGUCCUUCCCUGUGGCCAGAGAGAUGUGUCUCUGUGAUGGCCAGGCUUGGGUCACGUACUCCCUCCCCUACCAGAAUCACAUGAAAAGAGGGAGGAAGAGCCGCUUUCCACCAAAGGAAACUGAAGUGCUAUUGUCAGAGGGGUUGCUGGGCAGACCAAAAAGAUGACAAUAUCUGCUCCAAUCGCUCGGGUUGUUGGUGCUUGGCAGAUUUGCCCCUACGUCACUUUUCAGAUGUGGAUAAGACUGAAGGUGACCACAGGCUUCCGAGAGGAAAGCUGCCAAUGGGGGUGUGAGAGGAGGGGGAAUUCUUACUCACCAAGGUUAACACUGUGCACACUGUUCUCCGAGGAAGUGGGAAUUUCCACAUGGUGAGUUCCCUUCCCUGUACAAUGAAUUACUAUCUUGAUGAGAAACCCGUGGGCAGCUGGUUGAGAAGAGAAAGGUAUUCUCUGAAUGAGAGGGAAUUUACCACCUUCCUUUCAAUGGUGACAGUUUUUUCUGGUGUCACCGCAGGGUGUGGAUUGAUUCAUAUACAAAUAUACAUAUCUACAUAGAUGCCAUUCUGCUAGCCUCUGCAAAAUGCAUGCCUGGAGACCAUUUCUGCUGCCUAGGAGAUGUCAACUUUGUCACCACCACUCUCUCUCCACCACUCCCACACCCUGCAGGGGCCAGGUGUGUGGGUGGGGAGCUCCCCAGCUGGAGGCCAGAUUAGAGGUCUCUGUGUGGUGGGGAUGGGGAGGAUGGGGUGGGAAUGAGGUGGUAGGCCACUGGCAGUGGUCCAAGUUCCAUCCAGGAUCUGUCCUAGGCCUCUCCCCAGGCUGUCGCUUCCACCAUUGAAUUUCUAACCUGGAUCUCUAAGGUUAUGAAUAUCUCAUUCCCGCAUCCUGGGGUGCUCAGACAUGUCUCCCCUGAGUCUCUAGCUGGGCUCGUGGCUGUGAUCAUUGUCCUCAGAGUUCCAUCCUCCCAACAAAGGGACAGAAGAAACACAGGGCCCACUUUUCUGGAUUCUGAGUUGGAGCCAAGAAAUUCUAUCUGCUGCUUCCUUCCUGUUGAAUUAUCCCCCAAGGACCCCUUAGUCCCUCCAGUCUCCUCCAGAGGCCUAUAGCUGCCCCAGCUCCCCAUGAUGGAUACCUGGCUCUUUCCUACCCAGAGGAAAACGCAGGCCCUUCCCCAGCCCUGCACUGAACUCCUGUGAGUGGCUGAGGAGAUGAGGAGGUGUGAAGAGUGAGUGUGUUGGGGAGGGAGGGGUCCCCUGCCACCAGGUACCAAGGACUUCUGCCAGAUCACCAGAACUGACACCUGGUUCCACCGGCCAGCUGUGAAGUGUCGGCCCUGACAUCAACAGCUGACCUCCCACAGGGCCUAAGGAAACGGAAUUGUGG
rnacentral:lncRNA from 10 species